AUCAGGCACCAUUUAACCAUUGUUAUUUGGUGUCAUGAUGUUCAGAGUAAUUAGUCUCAUUGCCGCUUUGGAAUUUCCCUAUUUUCAACUAUGGUUAAAAUGGUGUCAGGAGUUGACUGAGCUUGGGGGCGGGGGAGGGAUCUGAGCGUUAAUGAAUACGUUAUUGUUGAUCGAUCACAUGAUUAUUUCCAGGUUCCUUCACAUUUACACCGAUGUCUCAGUGAUUCGCUGCAAUGCAAGUGCCGUGGUUUUUUUUUUCUGUACAGUAAAUACGUGGGCAAGUUAUCACAUGUUUGGUACAUGUCGGUGCUCUUGCUGGAUUAGAACAGCGUGGUUGGAAAUAUGGCGAUCUCUUGACUUGAGUCACUGUUUCCAGUGUUUUGAGACGUUUCCUAUGGUGUGUCGAGUGAAUCAAAUUGACUGAAUAUUGGGGUUUCUGAUCUGGGGCCCAUUGAUGAAGUCUGAAAUGGAUCAUCUGCACAGCGCUCCUGGUGUGCUGCACUUCCCGAAAACUGCGGAUUUCGUUAUGGGAGAACAGACUCCACCUCCAAUGUUUUCUUUCAUUGUAUCCCAUCUUUUAUUAAUAAAUAUGGCAGGACCGCAAUGAUCGAUCUGAACGAUUGAUGGUGGGAUAACUGAGCGCUGUCCAUGACUUGCUGCUUAUGUUGUGAAGCAUGCAAGUCGUCCUGUUUUGAAGUUGAAGACAACAGCUUAUCCAGCUUGGCCCAUUAUCUCUGGACCUGGUCGGUGUUGCUACUGAGAAGUCGUUCUGCACUUUUCAUUGAACCUUGGAGGAUCUCUGGCUUGAUAGUAACUCUACAGUAGGAGGCUCACCCAUAAACACUUCCCCGGGGAAACUGCCGCAGAUCUGUUCUGGAGCUAAGAUGGCUGCUCUGAACCAACCCCAAUCGUUUUCUUUCUACCCGUCAUAUCGUCAUCCAGUGCAGAGGCACGAAAAGGAACUGAGUGAACGAGACCUAUAGGACAGGU